rnacentral:rRNA from 1 species
UACGGGGGGGGCAAGCGUUGUUCGGAAUUACUGGGCGUAAAGGGCUCGUAGGCGGCCAACUAAGUCAUACGUGAAAUCCCUCGGCUUAACCGGGGAACUGCGUCUGAUACUGGAUGGCUUGAGUUCGGGAGAGGGAUGCGGAAUUCCAGGUGUAGCGGUGAAAUGCGUAGAUAUCUGGAGGAACACCGGUGGCGAAGGCGGCAUCCUGGACCGAUACUGACGCUGAGGCACGAAAGUGUGGGGAUCAAACAGG